AUGCUCGCUUCAGCAGCACAUAUACUAAAAUUAGAACAAUACAAAGAUUAGCAUGGCCCUUGCGCAAGGAUGACAUGCAAAUUCGUGAAGCAUUCCAUAUUUUU
rnacentral:snRNA from 1 species